rnacentral:tRNA from 1 species
GAGAGAGUUCAACUAGACUGCUAACUAGCACCCAAGACUAACACUUUGGCUCUCUUA